CACAGACCCUUUUCUCUACACUCUAGCACUGUCAGGAGUGGGAAUCCUGAUGGGUUAGUUUGCCAGUAAUUAAAUGUGUCCCUUCUGUUCAUUUCACAGAUGCAGUUGCCCUCUGCUUCGAAGCAAAGUGCAGGUCAGAGCCAAUGGGAGCCUUUAAUAAUCUCAUAGUCUCAUCUGGCGCUGAAGACGGAAAGUUUUCUUGCAAAUUGGGCUUUUGUGAGAUUAUCUGAAGAGGAACAAGCUCCUCUGGACAGAGGGAGGCUGGGAGCAUACAGAGUCAUAGAGAAGUCACUGUAACACCCCUGGAGAGACCUUCACUGAGCUUAAAUGCCUGGGGACGUACAGGUGGAGAGAAACAGAUUGGUCCUGGUACAUCAGCUCAUCACAUCGGUCUCCGUAUUCAACUGUGGACAGUAUCUGGAGCUGCAGAAGGUAUAAAUUACUCGGGACAAUGACACUUCUGCCCCACAAGCCCAUGCUGACCAAGAUCCUGGUGCCAGGGUGGUCAGUGUGUGUGCUGCCUGGGAGCUGCACAUUUAUUUGAAGAGGAAGAAGCUCCUCUGAUGGGUCUGCUCACCCACAGUCUAGUCAGUGCUAAAAUAAGCACAGCUGUGUUGUCCACCAUCCACAGCUGCACCUUCUGCAGCAUCUUCCACAGAUGAGGCAGCGGCAGCCCCACGGAUGAGCCAGCAUGACCCACACACCAGCCUCAGAGACAACAGCUAUAGGUACUGAUGAGCUGUUGCAUCAAGGAGGUCAUUUGCUUUCAGUUAGUCCUGUAUAAACCACGUCAUUCAGCUGAUAUAACUCCUCUGCCACACAUUCUCUUUCUCUUGUCUCUCACACUGGGCACCCAGAUUUGAGGACUGCACCCCAAGCCACGGCCAGUGUCACCCACCAAGGCAAGCACAGCCCUUCGUGGUGGCCGUGCUUUGCUGCAGCCACAGCCUGUCAUCCUCUGAGACAGCUUUAGCCAGAUAAAAACCUUGUUUAGGCUUUCUCUAUAGACUGGAGGAGUAGGAGGGGAAAAUGCCUCCAGAGAGUAAUUAAUUGUAAGCCUGCCUUUUAAAUUGGUAAAUAUCUGUAAGCUCUGGGAAA
rnacentral:lncRNA from 1 species